AAAACUUCAGCCCUAGGGAGGUUCGGACCGCUACGCUCACCGCGCCCCCCGAACCCCGCGCCCCUGAAAGAAGCCCCGCAGCCGCUUCCACCGCCGCGCUCGCCUCCCGCCCGGCCCCGGGGGCCCGGCGCCCGGAUCGGCGGUGACUGCGUCCGCGCCGAGCACCCAACCAGGGGGCGGGGAGGGGGCGGGGGGCGGGCAACGUGGCCACCGGAGGAAGUUUCCCGAAGUUGUCGGUUUAUUCCGGAGACCAGCCCGCGACCCGGCCGGAUCGCCGAGGCGGCCCUGCGCGGGAGAAGUCGGAGUUGGGGCGCUCAGGGGGUAGGCGCCCCGAGACCGAGAGCGGCCUCUCCUCCGUCUCCUUGCUCGCCCCUCGCCUUCCCGGCGCGCCACCGGGGAUCGGACUUGGACUGAAGAAGAGGAGGAACGGUCGGGGUCGCCAGCAACGCCCCUCCCGGGUGGGUACCGCUCCGGAUUGGAGCCGCGGGGGACCGAACCCCACCAGGAUUAUAAAACAGUACGGAAGAGACCCUCCGGAAACAAGGCUGGUCACCAUGUGGGGACUGCUCAUCUGGACGCUGGUGGCCCUUUACCGGAUCCGCGCGACCGGAGCCCAAGAUGACGUGCCCCCCUAUUUCAAGACGGAGCCGGCGCGGACGCAGGUGCAUCUGGAGGGCAACCGCCUCGUGCUCACGUGCAUGGCCGAGGGCAGCUGGCCGCUGGAGUUCAAGUGGCUGCGCAACAGUCGGGAGCUGACCAGGUUCUCCCUGGAGUACAGGUACGUGAUCACCAGCCUGGACCGCACCCACGCCGGCUUCUACCGCUGCAUCGUGCGCAACCGGAUGNNNNNNNNNNNNNNNNGACAGACGGAGGUCCAGGUGGCCUACAUGGGGAGCUUCGAGGAGGGCGAGAAGCACCAGAGCGUCUCCCACGGAGAGGCCGCUGUCAUCCGUGCCCCACGCAUCUCCAGCUUCCCGCGGCCGCAGGUGACCUGGUUUCGGGAUGGCCGCAAGAUUCCGCCCAGCAGCCGCAUAGCCAUCACCCUGGAGAACACGCUUGUCAUCCUGUCGACCGUGGCGCCCGACGCGGGCCGCUACUACGUGCAGGCUCGUCUGUUCCUCUCCCCAGAUGUCAGCGGCCCUGCAGACCCCAUCGCUCCAGCCAUCAUCAUUCCUCCCAAGAACACCAGCGUGGUGGCCGGGACCUCGGAGGUGACUAUGGAGUGUGUGGCCAAUGCCAGGCCUCUGAUCAAGCUGCACAUCAUUUGGAAGAAGGAUGGGGCGCUGCUGUCUAGCGGCAUCAGCGACUACAACCGCCGGCUCACCAUCCCCAACCCCACGGCCAGCGAUGCCGGCUACUACGAGUGUGAGGCCGUCCUGCGGAGCAGCAGCGUCCCCUCCGUCAUCCGUGGCGCCUACCUGUCCGUGCUGGAGCCACCUCAGUUUGUCAAGGAGCCAGAGAGACACAUCACAGCGGAGAUGGAAAAGGUGGUGGACAUCCCCUGUCGCGCCAAAGGUGUGCCGCCGCCCUCCGUGACCUGGUACAAGGACGCGGCCGUCGUGGAGGUGGGGAGGCUGAGCCGCUUCCGGCAGCGAGGCGAUGGGGGCCUGCAGAUCAGCGGGCUGGUGCCCGACGACACUGGCAUACUGCAGUGCUUUGCCCGGAACGCGGCCGGCGAGGCGCAGACCUCCACCUACCUGGCCGUCACCAGCAUNNNNNNNNNNNNNNNNNNNNNNNNNNNNNNNNNNNNNNNNNNNGACGGCAUGUCCGUGGUGCUGGCCUGUGAGACUUCGGGGGCGCCCCGGCCAGCCAUCACUUGGCAAAAAGGGGAGCGCAUUCUGGCGAGCGGCUCGGUCCAGCUGCCGCGCUUCACACUCCUGGAGUCGGGCAGUCUGCUCAUCAGCCCCACGCACAUCUCCGACGCCGGCACCUACACCUGUCUGGCCACCAACUCACGAGGGGCGGACGAAGCCUCGGCCGACCUGGUGGUGUGGGCCCGGACCCGCAUCACCAGGCCCCCCCAGGACCAGNNNNNNNNNNNNNNNNNNNNNNNNNNNNNNNNNNNNNNNNNNNNNCACGACCCCCGAGUGACCGUCAGGCACGUGUGGGAGAAAGACGGCGUCGCGCUGAGCACGGAGGGCAACCCCCGCACCUGGUCCGGGGACAUCGGCACCUACACCUGCCGGGUGCUCUCGGCCGGCGGCAACGACUCCCACAGCGCCCACCUGCGCGUGAGGCAGCUGCCUCACGCCCCCGAGCACCCCGUGGCGACCCUCAGUACCUCGGAGAGGAGGGCCAUCAACCUGACGUGGGCCAAGCCCUUCGACGGCAACAGCCCGCUGAUCCGCUACGUCCUGGAGAUGUCCGAGAACAAUGCCCCCUGGACGGUGCUCCUGGCCAGCGUGGACCCUGAAACUACCUCGGUGACCGUCAAGGGCUUGGUCCCCGCACGGUCCUACCAGUUCCGUCUUUGCGCUGUCAACGACGUGGGGAAGGGACAGUUCAGCAAGGACACGGAGAGGGUCUCCCUUCCUGAAGAGCCCCCCACAGCCCCUCCACAGAAUGUCAUCGCCAGUGGCCGGACCAACCAGUCCAUCAUGAUCCAGUGGCAGCCGCCCCCUGAGAACCACCAGAACGGCGUCCUCAAGGGCUACGUCAUCAGGUACUGCCUGGCCGGGCUUCCUGUCGGGUACCAGUAUAAGAACAUCACGGAUGCCGAAGUCAACAACCUGCUGCUCGAGGACCUCAUCAUCUGGACCAACUACGAGAUCGAGGUGGCCGCCUACAACAGCGCCGGGCUGGGCGUCUAUAGCAGCAAAGUCACCGAGUGGACGCUACAGGGGGUCCCCACAGUCCCUCCGGGCAACGUGCACGCCGAAGCCACCAACUCCACGACCAUCCGCUUCACCUGGAAUGCCCCCAGCCCCCAGUUCAUCAACGGCAUCAACCAGGGCUACAAGCUCAUCGCCUGGGAGCCGGAGCAGGAAGAGGAGGUCACCAUGGUGACCGCCCGGCCCAACUUUCAAGACAGCAUCCACGUGGGCUUCGUGUCUGGCCUGAAGAAGUUCACGGAGUACUUCACCUCGGUGCUGUGCUUCACCACCCCCGGGGACGGGCCCCGCAGCACCCCGCAGCUGGUGCGCACCCAUGAGGAUGUGCCUGGGCCUGUGGGACACCUGAGCUUCAGUGACGUCCUGGACACCUCGCUGAAGGUCAGCUGGCAGGAGCCAGGGGAGAGGAACGGCAUCCUCACAGGCUACCGGAUCUCCUGGGAGGAGUACAACCGCACCAACACGCGCGUGACCCACUACUUGCCCAACGUGACCCUGGAAUACCGCGUGACCGGGCUCACCGCGCUCACCACCUACACCAUCGAGGUGGCCGCCAUGACCGCCAAGGGCCAGGGCCAGGUGUCAGCCUCCACCAUCUCCUCGGGGGUGCCUCCAGAACUCCCCGGAGCCCCCACCAACCUGGGCAUUUCCAACAUCGGCCCGCGUUCCGUGACCUUGCAGUUCAAGCCAGGCUACGACGGGAAGACCUCCAUCUCCCGCUGGCUGGUGGAGGCCCAGGUGGGCGUGGUUGGGGAGGGAGACGAGUGGCAGCUGAUCCACCAGCUCCCCAACGAGCCCGACGCCCGCUCCAUGGAGGUGCCCGACCUCAACCCCUUCACCUACUACAGCUUCCGCAUGCGCCAGGUGAACAUCGUGGGCACCAGCCCACCCAGCCAGCCUUCUAGAAAGAUCCAGACCCUCCAGGCACCCCCUGACAUGGCCCCGGCCAACGUGACCCUGCGCACGGCCAGUGAGACCAGCCUGUGGCUCCGCUGGGUGCCUCUCCCGGAGAUGGCAUACAAUGGGAACCCCGAGUCGGUGGGCUACAAGAUCAAGUACAGCCGGGCAGACGGCCAUGGCAAGACGCUGAGCCACGUGGUCCAUGACCGCGUGGAGCGUGAGUGCACCAUCGAGGACCUGGAGGAGUGGACAGAGUACCGCGCUCAGGUGCAGGCCUUCAACGCUGUCGGGAGUGGGCCCUGGAGCCCGGCGGUGACGGGCCGUACCCGGGAGUCAGUGCCGUCCUCCGGGCCCACCAACGUGUCUGCGCUGGCCACCACCUCCAGCAGCAUGCUGGUGCGCUGGAACGAGGUCCCCGAGGCCGACCGCAACGGGCUUGUGCUGGGCUACAAGGUGCUGUACAAGGAGAAGGACUCGGACGCCCCGCCCCGGUUCUGGCUGGUGGAAGGGAACUCCUCCCGCAGCGCCCAGCUCACAGGCCUGGGCAAGUACGUGCUGUACGAGAUCCAGGUGCUGGCCUUCACGCGCAUCGGCGACGGGGGACCAAGCCACCCUCCCAUCCUGGAGCGGACCCUGGACGACGUCCCGGGACCCCCCGUGGGCAUCCUAUUCCCGGAGGUGCGGACCACGUCGGUGCGGCUGGUCUGGCAGCCCCCCGCUGCCCCCAACGGCAUCAUCCUUGCAUACCAGAUCACCCACCGGCUCAAUGCCACUUCGGCCAACGCUGCCGCUGUGGAGGUGCUCGCGCCCAGCGCCCGCCAGUUCACGGCCACCGGCCUCAAGCCGGAGUCUGUCUACCUGUUCCGCAUCACGGCCCAGACCCGCAAGGGGUGGGGAGAGGCUGCCGAGGCCUUGGUGGUGACCACCGAGAAGAGAGACCGCCCGCAGCCCCCCAGCAAGCCGGUGGUGCAGCAGGAGGACGUGAAGGCACGCAGCGUGUUGCUGUCCUGGGAGCCGGGCAGCGACGGGCUGUCCCCCGUGCGCUACUACACCGUCCAGACUCGCGAGCUGCCCAGCGGCCGAUGGGCGCUGCACUCAGCCUCCGUGAGCCACAACGCCUCCACCUUCCUCGUGGACCGGCUCAAGCCCUUCACAUCCUACAAGUUCCGCGUGAAGGCAACCAAUGACAUCGGAGACAGCGAGUUCAGCGAGGAGUCAGAGCCCCUGACCACCCUACAAGCCGGUCAGCCCGGCUCCAUCAUCCUACCCUCUGCCCUGCAGCCGCCGUCGGAGGACAAGAUCAACGGAAUCCUCCUGGGCUUCCGGAUCCGCUACCGAGAGCUGCUCUACGACGGAAUGAGGGGCUUCACGCUGCCUCUGUGUCUCGCCCCUCCCCGACUGUCGCCCCCAGACCUGAACAAGCACCGGCGCUACGAGAUCCGCAUGAGCGUGUACAACGCCGUGGGCGAAGGGCCCUCCAGCCCCCCGCACGAGGUCUUUGUCGGGGAGGCAGUGCCCACAGCAGCGCCCCGCAACGUGGCCGUCCAUGGCCCCACGGCCACACAGCUGGACGUGACGUGGGAGCCGCCUCCGCUGGAGAGCCAGAACGGGGACAUCCAGGGCUACAAGAUCUAUUUCUGGGAGGCCCAGCGGCGGAACUUGACUGAGCGGGUGAAAACGCUUUUCCUGGCCGAGAACAGCGUCAAGCUCAAGAACCUGACAGGCUACACCACCUACAUGGUUAGCGUGGCAGCCUUCAACGCCGCCGGGGACGGGCCUCGGAGCACCCCCACCCGGGGCCAGACCCAGCAAGCAGCCCCCAGCGCUCCCAGCUCCGUCAGGUUCAGCGAGCUGACCACCACCUCCGUGAACGUGUCCUGGGGGGCCCCGGAGUUCCCCAACGGCGUCCUGGAGGGCUACCGGCUGGUGUACGAGCCCUGCACGCCCGUGGAUGGGGUCAGUAAGAUCGUGACGGUAGAUGUGAAGGGCAGCAGCCCCCUGUGGCUGAAGGUGAAGGACCUGGCGGAGGGGAUGACCUACAGGUUCCGCAUCAGAGCCAAGACCUUCACCUACGGGCCUGAGAUCGAAGCCAACGUCACCACAGGCCCUGGAGAAGGUAGGGGAGCCUUGGUGCCCAUCAUCGUGCGGUACAGCUCAGCCAUUGCCAUUCACUGGUCCAGCGGAGACCCAGGCAAAGGGCCCAUCACCCGCUACGUCCUCGAGGCUCGGCCUUCAGGUACGUCCGCCCAGGCUGACAUGGACAUCCUCAAGCCAGGUGUGAGCUACGACUUCCGGGUCAUCGCAGUCAAUGACUACGGUUUCGGGACGCCCAGCAGCCCCUCCCAGUCUGUGCCAGCCCAGAAAGCCAACCCCUUCUACGAGGAGUGGUGGUUCCUGGUGGUCAUCGCCCUCGUUGGCCUCAUCUUCAUCCUGCUCCUCGUCUUUGUGCUCAUCAUCCGAGGCCAGAGCAAGAAGUAUGCCAAGAAGACAGACGCAGGUGAGCUGGCUGGACCGGACUUUCCCCCCGCUGGGCUCCUCUCUCUAUGUGAUUUCCCUGGCAAGGAUACUGAGUGGGUUGCCAUUUCCUCCUCCACAUCUGUAUCGGCAGGCGGAUUCUUUACCACUGCGCCACCAGGACAGCCCCCCGGGAAGCAGCAUUCGCUGGGAAUGGUCACUAGGCAGAGAGCCAGGCCCAGGCAGCUCCACAGCGGGGUGGGGAGAAAGUCACGAGGAGCUGGGGACAGAGGGUGUCUGCCAACCACAGCAGGAUGCAAAUCGCUUGCACAACUUUGCAAACCACUAACUGCUGUUUGGGGCCAAGUGCUCCUGGUACAGGCCUGA
ensembl:lncRNA